rnacentral:rRNA from 1 species
AGCGUAGGCGGAACUACAAGACAGGGGUCAAAUCUCCGGGCUCAACCUGGAACUUGCCUUUGUGACUGUGGUUCUUGAGUAUGGUAGAGGUUGGCGGAAUUUCCGGUGUAGCGGUGGAAUGCGUAGAGAUCGGAAAGAACACCAGAGGCGAAGGCGGCCAACUGGACCAAUACUGACGCUGAGGCUCGAAAGCGUGGGGAGCAAACAGGAUUAGAUACCCUGGUAGUCCACGCUGUAAACGAUGAACACUAGAUGUCGGGAGGGGUUCCUUCCGGUGUCGUCGCUAACGCAGUAAGUGUUCCGCCUGGGGAGUACGCUCGCAGGGGUGAA